GCACUGGUGGUUCAGUGGCAGAAUUCUCCCCUUCCACGUGGAAAACCUGGAUUUGAUUUCUAGCCAAUGUA
rnacentral:tRNA from 1 species